GUUACCCUGUUAAUCGAAGAAGU
rnacentral:miRNA from 1 species